rnacentral:rRNA from 1 species
CGGCGUGCUUAACACAUGCAAGUCGAACGGACGGACUCGAUAGCUUGCUAUUGGGAAAGUUAGUGGCAAACGGGUGAGUAACGCGUAGGCAACCUGCCCUUCAGAUGGGGACAACACUUCGAAAGAGGUGCUAAUACCGAAUGACGUAUCCAUUCCGCAUGGAGAGGAUACCAAAGGCCGGGCAACCGGUCACUGAAGGAUGGGCCUGCGUCUGAUUAGCUAGUUGGUGGGGUAACGGCUCACCAAGGCGACGAUCAGUAGCCGGUCUGAGAGGAUGAACGGCCACAUUGGGACUGAGACACGGCCCAAACUCCUACGGGAGGCAGCAGUGGGAAUCUUCCGCAAUGGGCGCAAGCCUGACGGAGCAACGCCGCGUGAGUGAAGAAGGUUUUCGGAUCGUAAAGCUCUGUUGAGAGGGACGAGAGGCAAGGCUAGGAAAUGAGCUUUGUAGGACGGUACCUUUCGAGGAAGCCACGGCUAACUACGUG